GAUGAACGCUAGCGGCAGGCCUAAUACAUGCAAGUCGAACGGGAUCCAGAUCAAAGCUUGCUUUGGUCUGGUGAGAGUGGCGCACGGGUGCGUAACGCGUGAGCAACCUACCCUUGUCAGGGGGAUAGCCCGGCGAAAGUCGGAUUAAUACCGCAUGACAUCAUUGAGAGGCAUCUUUCGAUGAUCAAAGAUUUAUCGGACAAGGAUGGGCUCGCGUGACAUUAGCUAGUUGGUAAGGUAACGGCUUACCAAGGCUGCGAUGUCUAGGGGCUCUGAGAGGAGAAUCCCCCACACUGGUACUGAGACACGGACCAGACUCCUACGGGAGGCAGCAGUAAGGAAUAUUGGGAAAUGGACGGAAGUCUGAACCAGCCAUGCCGCGGGCAGGAAGACGGCCCUAUGGGUUGUAAACUGCUUUUAUACGGGAACAAACGUCGGUACGUGUACCGGUCUGAGUGUACCGUAAGAAUAAGGAUCGGCUAACUCCGUG
rnacentral:rRNA from 1 species